rnacentral:rRNA from 1 species
AUUGAACGCUGGCGGCAUGCCUUACACAUGCAAGUCGAACGGUAACAGGGAGCUUGCUCCGCUGACGGGUGGCGAACGGGUGAGUAAUGUAUCGGAACGUACCAUAGAGUGGGGGAUAACUAUCCGAAAGGAUAGCUAAUACCGCAUAUUCUCUCCGGAGGAAAGCAGGGGACCGCAAGGCCUUGCGCUCUUUGAGCGGCCGAUAUCAGAUUAGCUAGUUGGUGAGGUAAAGGCUCACCAAGGCGACGAUCUGUAGCGGGUCUGAGAGGAUGAUCCGCCACACUGGAACUGAGACACGGUCCAGACUCCUACGGGAGGCAGCAGUGGGGAAUUUUGGACAAUGGGGGCAACCCUGAUCCAGCCAUGCCGCGUGAGUGAAGAAGGCCUUCGGGUUGUAAAGCUCUUUCGGCCGGGAAGAAAUCGCACAGGCCAAUACCCUGUGUGGAUGACGGUACCGGAAUAAGAAGCACCGGCUAACUACGUG